ACAUUUCGUUCUAUCUGGCUGCGAUAUCUGUCACCCCAUUGAUUGCCAGGGUUGAUUCGGCUGAUCUGGCUGGCUAGGCGGGUGUCCCCUUCCUCCCUCACAGUUCCAUGUGCGUCCCUCCAGAAGCUGCGCGCUCGGUGGAAAAGGACGACCAUCCCCGAUAGAGGAGGACCGAACCGUUCUUCCAUCAAGGGUAUACAAGUAGCUGCGCUCCCCUGCUAGAACCUCCAAACAAGCUCUCACAAGUUUUUAAUAAAUGUUUGUUAGGUGAUUUGAUGGACAGCGUAUAAUAAUAAUAAUAACCUUUGUUUGCUACUACACUAGUUAAUAAAUUAAA
rnacentral:snRNA from 1 species